rnacentral:rRNA from 1 species
UACGUAGGUGGCAAGCGUUGUCCGGAUUUAUUGGGUUUAAAGGGUGCGUAGGCGGUUUUGUAAGUCAGUGGUGAAGUACUCUAGCUUAACUAGAGGGGUGCCAAUGAUACUGCGGAACUUGAGUACAGAUGAGGUAGGCGGAAUUGACGGUGUAGCGGUGAAAUGCAUAGAUAUCGUCAAGAACACCGAUAGCGAAGGCAGCUUACUGGGCUGUAACUGACGCUGAUGCACGAAAGUGUGGGGAUCAAACAGG